rnacentral:rRNA from 1 species
UCAUCUGGAAAGAUGAAUCAAAGAAGGUAAUAAUCCUGUAGUCGAAAAUGUUGUCUCUCUUGAGUGGAUCCUGAGUACGACGGAGCACGUGAAAUUCCGUCGGAAUCUGGGAGGACCAUCUCCUAAGGCUAAAUACUCUCUAGUGACCGAUAGUGAACCAGUACCGUGAGGGAAAGGUGAAAAGCACCCCGGAAGGGGAGUGAAAUAGAACCUGAAACCGUGUGCUUACAAGUAGUCAGAGCCCGUUAAUGGGUGAUGGCGUGCCUUUUGUAGAAUGAACCGGCGAGUUACGAUUUGAUGCAAGGUUAAGCAGUAAAUGUGGAGCCGUAGCGAAAGCGAGUCUGAAUAGGGCGUUUAGUAUUUGGUCGUAGACCCGAAACCAGGUGAUCUACC